rnacentral:rRNA from 1 species
GGAGCCGUAGCGAAAGCGAGUUUUAACUGAGCGUUCAGUUACUUGACGUAGACCCGAAACCGGGCGACCUACCCAUGAGCAGGAUGAAGCGAAAGUAAAAUUUCGUGGAGGUCCGAACCCACGAGCGUUGAAAAGCUCGGGGAUGACUUGUGGGUAGCGGUGAAAUUCCAAUCGAGCCCGGAGAUAGCUGGUUCUCCCCGAAAUAGCUUUAGGGCUAGCCUCAAGGUGAGAGAUACGGAGGUAGAGCACUGAAUGUCCUAGGGGGUAUUGCACCUACCGAAGACUAUCAAACUCCGAAUGCCGUCAUCUUAUACUUGGGAGUCAGACUGUGGGUGAUAAGAUUCAUAG